GUGGGGGAUAUUGCACAAUGGGGGAAACCCUGAUGCAGCAACGCCGCGUGAGGGAAGAAGGUCUUCGGAUUGUAAACCUCUGUCCUAUGGGACGAUAAUGACGGUACCAUAGGAGGAAGCUCCGGCUAACUACGUGCCAGCAGCCGCGGUAAUACGUAGGGAGCGAGCGUUGUCCGGAAUUACUGGGUGUAAAGGGUGCGUAGGCGGCUUUGCAAGUCAGGCGUGAAAUCUAUGGGCUUAACCCAUAAACUGCGCUUGAAACUGUAGGGCUUGAGUGAAGUAGAGGCAGGCGGAAUUCCCGGUGUAGCGGUGAAAUGCGUAGAGAUCGGGAGGAACACCAGUGGCGAAGGCGGCCUGCUGGGCUUUAACUGACGCUGAGGCACGAAAGCGUGGGUAGCAAACAGGAUUAGAAACCCUAGUAGUCC
rnacentral:rRNA from 1 species